rnacentral:lncRNA from 1 species
CUGCCAAAAAAUGACACCUGCUUGUGUCGAGAUAAUCUAUCAUCUUUCAAAAAGAUAUUGUAUCAUGUUAACUCUUAAAUCCACUCACAACCAUAAGGUGCAGUAAUCUAAAGCCGAACAAUGCGUUAAAUCAGCUUUUCUAACAAAGCUCUAUAACAGAACAAAUUAUGCACAACAACAAUGUACAAAAGAAAGAGAAAACUCUAAACUUCUCUUUGGCAAAUCGUUGCUCGAUUGUAGGUUGCCUUUCACUUAAAGUUACCAAAGAAAUGUAAAAGAAUCAACAACAAGUUGCAACAUAAAUGAUAGAGCAACAAACUGGAAUUCUGUUGUAGAGCUCCGUAUCUGAAAAUGGGAAGCGAGGUGAUUCUGGAAAAAAUGGGAAGGGAGGCCCAAUCAGUUUACUGAAAAUCAAGAAAUUGGAAUUCUUUAUUACAAAUGCACUUCUGAAGAAUGAAUUGUACGACCAGUUUCGCAAAGGAGCUCAUUUUGCCUAAUAUAAAAGUUAAACACCGGUAUCUAUAAAGUUUGUAGAAACUAUGCUCCAUCCGAAUUAGGAUUUUCAAUCAUGAAUUUCGUGAGCACAUAGUAACCAUGCACAUGCAACGCACGUGUAACCAUAUGACCGAGGAAUGCAUUUUUUUCCAGCAUCUUUACUCCAUGUUUUAUUCUAGUGCGUUAACUGAUCAUGAGCUCUUAUUGUAGCGCGCCAACUGAUCCUCUUACACAUGGAAUUUAAUCACAACAACAUUAAUUUCAUACAAAUGUCGUCAGAUAUUACUGUAUUAAGAACUGUAGAAAUAUAUAAUUUUUAGCCAUCAGGAUCAGAAACUAUACCUGGAAUGCAGAAUUGUUAGGUGACGCCUCCAUAGCCAAAUCAUAGUCCCACACUCUCGCUACUUCCCAUAAGAUCAUAGUUCAGAAAGAAAAAAUGUUCAGUCCGUUAAAUGCGGCCUCAAACCUUACAGACAAAUCUGUUAACAAUCAACUAAAUUCAUGUUAACAAAAGAAAAAGUCUUACAUCUCUAUCAACAGAACUUGGGAGCAAGCAUGAAUCUUUGGCCACUAAUAAAUAUGAACUUAAAAGAUAGUAAAUCAGUACAGGGGAGAUGUAACCUUGAAGAAGAUGCUGAAUCAGCUGUGAAACAACCCUCUUGUAUCCUCUGUAUAACCCAAAAGUU